rnacentral:rRNA from 1 species
ACGAACGCUGGCGGCGUGCCUAACACAUGCAAGUCGAACGGAGAUGCUUUGAAAGCUUGCUGAUAAGUAUCUUAGUGGCGCACGGGUGAGUAACACGUGGGCAACCUGCCCGGGAGUUCGGGAUAACAGCGCGAAAGUGCUGCUAAUACCGGAUACCUUCAAGAGACUGCCUGGUCUUUUGAAGAAAGAUUUAUUGCUUCCGGAUGGGCCCGCGUCCCAUUAGCUAGUUGGUGAGGUAACGGCUCACCAAGGCGACGAUGGGUUAGCUG